GAUGAACGCUGGCGGCGUGCCUAAUACAUGCAAGUCGAGCGAACGGACGAGAAGCUUGCUUCUCUGAUGUUAGCGGCGGACGGGUGAGUAACACGUGGAUAACCUACCUAUAAGACUGGGAUAACUUCGGGAAACCGGAGCUAAUACCGGAUAAUAUUUUGAACCGCAUGGUUCAAAAGUGAAAGACGGUCUUGCUGUCACUUAUAGAUGGAUCCGCGCUGCAUUAGCUAGUUGGUAAGGUAACGGCUUACCAAGGCAACGAUGCCUAGCCGACCUGAGAGGGUGAUCGGCCACACUGGAACUGAGACACGGUCCAGACUCCGACGGGAGGCAGCAGUAGGGAAUCUUCCGCAAUGGGCGAAAGCCUGACGGAGCAACGCCGCGUGAGUGAUGAAGGUCUUCGGAUCGUAAAACUCUGUUAUUAGGGAAGAACAUAUGUGUAAGUAACUGUGCACAUCUUGACGGUACCUAAUCAGAAAGCCACGGCUAACUACGUG
rnacentral:rRNA from 1 species